rnacentral:tRNA from 1 species
AAGGGAGACCUAAUUCAGGUAGGAGACGAAAAAAAAGUAGUCCCAACCAAGAAUCAAUCCCAAAAGGUCGGAGCGAGGCGAAAUUGGCUUUCAAACUAGGUUCUGGGUUCACACAAGACCUGAAUCAGGAACAAGGGCUAUUAGCUCAGGUGGUUAGAGCGCACCCCUGAUAAGGGUGAGGUCCCUGGUUCAGGUCCAGGAUGGCCCACCUGCACAGGUGGCAAAAACAAGAGAAGCGAGGAAUCAGCACCUUAUCUUAUAUACAUAUAUAAGAGAGAAUGCUGGCUCUGAGUAAAGAGUCCAGAGGAACCUUGAAAACUGCAUAGAGCUAGGUGAAAAAGCCAAAAAAGAAGACCGCAA